rnacentral:lncRNA from 1 species
AAACCCCAUAGAUCCCUAUAAUGCCCCAUAGAGCCCUAUAAAAACCCCAUAGAAAACCCAUAAAUCCCCAUAGAGCCCCAUAGAUCCCCAUAGAGCCCCAUAGAAACCCCAUAAAACCCCAUAGAGCCCCAUAGAUCCCCAUGGAACACCACAGAGCCCCAUGGAAACCCCAUAGAACCCCAUAGAGCCUCAUAGAAACCCCAUAGAAACCCAUAGAGCCCCAUAAAAACCCCAUAGAACCCCAUAGAGCCCCAUAAAAACCCCAUAGAAACCCCAUAGAACCCCAUAGAUCCCCAUAGAAACCCCAUAGAGCCCCAUAGUGCCCCAUAGAAACCCCAUAAAACCCCAUAGAGCCCCAUAGAGCCCCAUAGAAACCCCAUAGAAGCCCCACAUCCCCCCAUAGAUCCCGCCCCCCCCCUCACCGCCAUCUUCGCCCUUUUUGCUGCGUUUCGGCAUCCCGCCCGCUUUUCCUCGUGAGUCCCAGCGCCGGAAGUGCCGUCGAGGAACGGAAGUGACGCGUGAAAAAACGAAACCGGAUGUGACGUCACGAAGCCGGGCCUUCCCAGGGGAGGGAAGCGAGAAACCGGAAGUGGGGCUAAAAACUACACCCCGUCCGCAGUGGGGCGGUGGGAAUGGACACCGGAAGUGACCCCACAGAUGACCGGAAAUGGAGGUAAAACGCGGAAGCCGCUGCGAAAAGCAAACAACCUGAUCCGCCAUGAGGAGCAAACCGGAAGUGACGCUGAGAUAACCGGAAGUGGGGCUGCAACGCCGGUGCGGAGCUGAAAACGACGAAUGCGGUGAACGACAAACCGGAAGUGGCGUUCAAACAGAACCGGAAAAGCGUCCAGAAAACCGGAAGCGAGCGAACGCGCGUGCGGAGAACACAACUAAAGGGCUGCGAGCACCGGAAGUGUUGAAGGCAAAGACCGGAAGUGCCACUGCGACGCACCGGAAGUCGUCUGCGGGCAAAAAGAGAGGGUGGAUGGAUGCGAGCGCAGAGCAACAAGAAGUGGACCAGCGGCAGACCGGAAGUGGCUGCGAGGAGAACCGGAAGUUGCCCCGAUGGAGAACGGGGAUUGGUGGAGGGGUGCGAGCGGUGGAGCGCACCGGAAGUGGUGCUGCCCAGCACCGGAAGUUGCUGUGAAAAACACCGGAAGUUGUCCCGCUGGGACGCAGGGAUUGGUAAGGGAAUGAAAGAGCGCGGCGGGGUAAACCGGAAGUGCUGGACAGAAAGGGCGGAAGUGACUGAGAGAAGAACCACAAGUGUCCCAGAAACAACGCAGGAUUGGUGCAGGAAUGAGCAGGGUGGACCACACCGGAAGUGGCGUUAAGAAAGGGCGGAAGUGGCCCUGAGCAGCACCGGAAGUUCUAUCUUUGCAACUUUGGGAUCGGCGCUGAGCAGCAACGGAAGUUUUUUCG